CUAGCGAGUUAACCGCUUUCAUGGCAGCUCAUACCUUGUGAAAAUCCGCCAAUUAAUAUGCGAUCACUAGGAAUCCCCAAAGCAAGUUCUGCAUCAAUCAAUUCAUGCAAUUGGCCUGCUGAACGUAGUAUCCCAUUCUCGUCCUCCCUCUUCAUAUCCGCAAAACUGUAGAUAUCAUACCUAAAAAAGUUUUAGCGAACAUUGUACUUUAUCAUCAAGCAGAACAAUUACUUACCAUGCUGGCAUUUUCAUGCCAUUGUUGACGGUAACAGGGAUAGAUGGACUAUAUACAAAAUAAUUAGCAUC